rnacentral:lncRNA from 1 species
CAACCAUCCUGGAGUGGAUUUCUGGAUUCAACAUGGCGGCCCUCACAGCAAGGUUACGACGCACCAUAAAGAUGAAGGGGUGGGUCACACGUUCCAUAGGCUGCUCACAUUUACAGACUGUCUGACUUUUAGAGAAAUAUUUCUGGACUACAAUGCAGAAAAAGAAGGCCAGGGACUGGAUUUAAGCAGUGGUAUAGUGCUAACUUCAUUGUACAAAUCAUCCUGUAUGCCAGCCUCCCAAAAAAUCUGCGGCAC